UACAGAGGGUGCGAGCGUUAAUCGGAAUUACUGGGCGUAAAGCGCACGUAGGCGGCUUUUGUAAGUUAGAGGUGAAAGCCCGGAGCUCAACUCCGGAAUUUGCCUUUUAAGACUGCAUCGCUAGAAUUGUGGAGAGGUAAGUGGAAUUCCGAGUGUAGAGGUGAAAUUCGUAGAUAUUCGGAAGAACACCAGUGGCGAAGGCGACUUACUGGACACAUAUUUGACGCUGAGGUGCGAAAGCGUGGGGAGCAAACAGG
rnacentral:rRNA from 1 species